GCACAAGCAGCGGAGCGUGUGGUUUAAUUCGUUGCUACACGAAGAACUUACCUGGGUUUGACAUAUAGGUUGUAGGGAACUGAAAGGGACGACCCUUCGGGGAGCCUAUACAGGUGUUGCAUGGCUGUCGUCAGCUCGUGUCGUGAGAUGUUCGGUUAAGUCCGCUAACGAGCGCAACCCUCGUCGUAUGUUAUAUGUGUCAUACGAGACUGCCGGUAAAAGCCGGAGGAAGGUGAGGAUGAUGUCAAGUCAGCAUGACCUUUAUAUCCAGGGCUACACACACGCUACAAUGGUCUGUACAAUGGGUAGCCAAGCCGCGAGGCGGAGCCAAUCCUGAAAGCAGGCCUCAGUUCAGAUUGCAGUCUGCAACUCGACUGCAUGAAGCCGGAGUUGCUAGUAACCGCAGGUCAGCAAUACUGCGGUGAAUACGUUCCCGGGUCUU
rnacentral:rRNA from 1 species